ACUAGAGACAUUGUCACACUGCAUGUGACGGGAAGGUGACAUUCUGGUCUCAGAGCCUGAGGCUGACGGCCUGUGGGGAAAUUUCAGGGGAGCACAGAGAGGAUGAAAGGAGAACAGAAACCCGUCCAGGGGCCCCAGCCGGCCCUUUGCAAACAGAGGCAGGGUCAGGCCAAACCGAGGGCCAGGUCGCAGGUGAAGGCUGGAGUCUGAGGUCUGGGGCCUGGGAUCAGCCUGUUUUAGCUGCUGCUCGGGUGCUUUCUGCGGAGGGGGCUCAUCACACUCUCCACCCAUAGGUGCAUUCGCAUGUGGGGCACUGCUGGUGGCUGAGACCAGGGUUUGGCUCUGGUGACUAUUUCAGCAGCCCUGUGGUUUCAGCGGAGAGCGGGGAACGUGUCCCCCCAGGACGGGCUCCUGCUUGCUCCCGAGAGGCGCCUUGGCAGGGCGGACAUUGGAAGCUGAAUGCGGAGGAAGCAUCUGGAAGCGGAGCUCUUGGCCUCAGCCCUCCUGUCCUGGGAGAGUCAAGAAUUAUCAUCUUGCCAUAAGCAUCUGGGUCUCAAACUUUCUGCUCUGCUAUCCUUGCCAUCCAACAACGAGCAAGAUUCCCAUCGAAGCUGAGCUGCUCCUUCAGGACCUGGGGGUCACCCCUUGGAGAACUGUCAAUCAUGCCCACGGCUUUGGAUGUUGACCCGUCUGGUGUCAUGAAGUGAGACCUGAGUGUCACGCAGAGACAGGUGGUGAGAAGUAAGGGUAGGCCCUGCCGUGACUGCAACUUAGGAGUAAAUGCGUCACCUGGACCGACGGCAGGAAGUGCAAACAGUGGGAGGCCCACAGGCAAGGUCUCAGAUGACCCGGGGCCAUCCUGGCCCUGCUGUUUGCUAUGUGGACUCAGCUUCACGCGGCCUCCCCAUCUAUGGCUCAAUUUCCCCUCCAGGAGGCAGGCAUCCCAGCCUGCCUGGUGACUCUGGGCAGGGAAAGCAGCAGAGCUACCUGCCCCUGGCUCUGGGGGGGGGGGCGGGGGUGGGACGUGUGAAUCUCUGGGGUGUUUUGAAAUGACUUUUUGUGUUGUUGGUGAUCUUCUGUUAACAUGGGAGACAGAGUUGACGUUUUCUGCCCCAGACCUGGGACGAAGCUCUUGAGCGCAGACACAGGGUUCCUCAGUGGCUCUUUGAUCACAGCCCUGCACCCCACUAUGUAGCGUUGAGCGGCCACUUCCACCAGCCUCUGUCCAGCUCCACUUGUGACCAGGUGCAAGAGGUUCCCGAGCCAGCAUCCUGAACAACAUUUUGUCCCAAGUUUAGAGUGGAAUCCUGUGAUGUCUUUGGGUAAACAUCACUGGGCCCAUUUCAAGGAUUGUGAAACUGAUGGGAAAGGAGAGACCUCUGCGUCCAGGCGGUGGAGGACAAGGACAAGGACCCAGGGCUCCAAACUCUGGUCUGAGCCCUUCCCAUCCCAGCACGCUGGCGAGGGGCAGGACCACGGACCACAGGCUUAUUUUAUUUUAUUUUUUUCUCUGGAACACUCUGAAUCUGAUAUUUAAAAAUUGAUUAUGAUUCAUAGCCAGAGAUGGCGGCUAACUGUCUCCUAGCUUCCCCAGCGUUGCUGAAGAAAUCCGUUAAGACUGUCCACAGGCACAAUGGCAGGGGCCGUUAGCGUCCCCACCAUGUCCCCUCGGGCCUUCCCUCUGUGCCAGGCCGCCGCGGCCAGCCUCCAAGUCAUUGUGUCCCAGCGUCUGGAAAGUGCUCAGCACCUGUGGCUGCCCUCCGGCCGGCGGGGUAGCUGCAGUGUGGGACAGCGUUGCCUGGCAGGGAUUGGCCCUGUGCCCGUGGUGGCAGCCUGCUUGGCCACACAGGGCUGCUGGGGGGCCCCACUUCCCUGUCUCAGCUCUCACUCCCCUGCCAGGGGGCCUGGAGUCACACCCCGUGUCUGGGAGUGUCCUUGCCUGCUUGUCCUGGGCUGCUGCUGCUGCGUCCCAUGGAGCGGUGGCACAGCACGCGCCUUUGGAGGAAGAUGGGAAAGACCUGAUCGUCGCUCUCAGCAGCGUGGCUGGUGUCAGGGCAGUGGGCAUGGGACCCAGCUGUGGCUCAGCUCUGGCCUCACGUGCUCCUGCCCCUGGGCCAGCACCCGGCUGUCUGGGCUGCGGUUCUGAAUCUGUCAGUGGGAUAAGGAUGUGCACCUCGUCCGGGGAGUGUUUGAGCCUCCUGUGGGGGAUGCACUGACCUGGAACUUCUCCGCUGGGAUUUGCUUUUCGUCCUGGUAUCAGGCCAGCGACUCAGUCCUGCUCCAUCCUCCAGAGGAGGAGACAGAAGCGCUGCGAGGUUGAGGCACUCAUCCAAGUUGACACAGUGGCCUGUCUGAGUCCAGAGCCUGUGCCGCGGCCCCACGCAGCCUGCCUGCCUCCCGGUACCGUGAGUGAGGGCGCCUGGGUGAAGCUGGCUGCAUACAAGCCUCUGUCGUCACGGGCUCCUACUUUAAGGUGCCGUUCUGUGCGGCUGCCAAAGGGAACGACGUUGUCAGAAGCUCCUCCCCCUGGGGAGUCCGGAGCUGCUUGGUGCUGGGGGGCUAGCCAGUGACCUUGCUCCCUGAUCUUGAUACACACAAGGCAAAUCUGAGUCACCCACCCAGUCCCCAAGGUGUCAGCCCCAGGACAAAUGGAAAGCCAGUGGUGGCCUGAGGAACAGGAGCAAGGCAGGCUGGACCAGGUCAGGGCAUGCAGAGAGCUGGCCCAGGAUAGGAGGGGCCCUCCCCAGGUGUCACAGGAGGGGUGCUGUGGGGAGACAGGAGGCUCUACUAUGUGGACAACUGGUGCUAAUUCAUUGUUCACUGUUUUUUGAUAUUCAUUACUUGGAAUCAAGGCUUGGCAAAGGCCUCUGAGUUCUGGCCCUGCCCCUGGCCAGGCCUGCGAGAGAGAACUCUUCCCUCUCUGAGCCUGCCCCAUGCCAGCCUGUUCCCCGAGCCAAGAGAGCUGUGGGUUGUCACACACCGAGGGUGGGCCGGGGCUGGUCUGCUUUCUGUGGCCAUGGAACUAGAGGGCCCAGGCAUUCACCCAUCUCCAGGCUGUUCUGACCUUGGAGAGUGGGCAGGGAUGCUGCGCCUGGGGUGUGGGCAUCCCAGGAAACGUACGUGUUGGUGACCUGUGCAACAGGACAGUGCGGUAAAAAAAAAAAAAGAAA